rnacentral:rRNA from 1 species
GACGAACCGUGCGAACGUUGUUCGGAAUCACUGGGCUUAAAGGGCGCGUAGGCGGCCAACUAAGUCAGACGUGAAAUCCCCAGGCUUAACCUGGGAACUGCGUCGGAUACUGGAUGGCUUGAAUUCGGGAGAGGGAUGCAGAAUUCCAGGUGUAGCGGUGAAAUGCGUAGAUAUCUGGAGGAAUACCGGUGGCGAAGGCGGCAUCCUGGACCGACAUUGACGCUGAGGAGCGAAAGCUAGGGGAGCAAACGGG